rnacentral:rRNA from 1 species
UACGAAGGGGGCUAGCGUUGCUCGGAAUUACUGGGCGUAAAGGGUGUGUAGGCGGAUACUUAAGUCGGGGGUGAAAGCCCAGGGCUCAACCCUGGAAUAGCCUUCGAUACUGGGUAUCUUGAGUUCGGAAGAGGUAAGUGGAACUCCGAGUGUAGAGGUGAAAUUCGUAGAUAUUCGGAAGAACACCAGUGGCGAAGGCGACUUACUGGUCCGAUACUGACGCUGAAACACGAAAGCGUGGGGAGCAAACAGG